rnacentral:rRNA from 1 species
UACUCGAGUGGCGAACGGGUGAGUAACACGUUGGUGAUCUGCCUUGCACUCUGGAUAAGCUUGGGAAACUGGGUCUAAUACCGGAUAGGAACCGUCUUUAGUGUGGUGGUUGGAAAGUUUUUUCGGUGCAAGAUGAGCUCGCGGCCUAUCAGCUUGUUGGUGGGGUAAUGGCCUACCAAGGCGUCGACGGGUAGCCGGCCUGAGAGGGUGUACGGCCACAUUGGGACUGAGAUACGGCCCAG